rnacentral:rRNA from 1 species
UACAGAGGUCUCAAGCGUUGUUCGGAUUCAUUGGGCGUAAAGGGUGCGUAGGUGGCGCGGUAAGUCGGGUGUGAAAUCUCGGAGCUUAACUCCGAAAUUGCAUUCGAUACUGCCGUGCUCGAGGACUGGAGAGGAGACUGGAAUUCAUGGUGUAGCAGUGAAAUGCGUAGAGAUCCGGAGGAACACCAGCGGCGAAGGCGGCAUCCUGGACUGGUCCUGACACUCAGGAGCGAAAGCGUGGGGAGCGAUCCGG